rnacentral:rRNA from 1 species
UACAUGGGGUGCAAACGUUGCUCGGAAUUAUUGGGCGUAAAGAGCUCGUAGGCGGUUCGUCACGUCGGCUGUGAAAUCCCGAGGCUCAACCUCGGGUCUGCAGUCGAUACGGGCGGACUUGAGUACUGCAGGGGAGACUGGAAUUCCUGGUGUAGCGGUGAAAUGCGCAGAUAUCAGGAGGAACACCGGUGGCGAAGGCGGGGUCUCUGGGCAGUAACUGACGCUGGAGGAGCG